UGCCCCAUGGCUGAGUUGGUUACAGCGUCCGACUGUUAUAACACUCAGUGCAGACAACAUUAAACAUCGGAAGGUCGUGAGUUCGAGCCUCACUGGGGCAG